CCUACGCUUGACAUGUACGGAAUCCUGAAGAGAUUUGGGAGUGCUCGAAAGAGAGCCGUAACACAGGUGCUGCAUGGCUGUCGUCAGCUCGUGUCGUGAGAUGUUGGGUUAAGUCCCGCAACGAGCGCAACCCUUGUCAUUAGUUGCUACGAAAGGGCACUCUAAUGAGACUGCCGGUGACAAACCGGAGGAAGGUGGGGAUGACGUCAAGUCCUCAUGGCCCUUAUGCGUAGGGCUUCACACGUCAUACAAUGGUACAUACAGAGGGUUGCCAACCCGCGAGGGGGAGCUAAUCUCAGAAAGUGUAUCGUAGUCCGGAUUGAAGUCUGCAACUCGACUUCAUGAAGUUGGAAUCGCUAGUAAUCGCGGAUCAGCAUGUCGCGGUGAAUACGUUCCCGGGUCUUGUACACACCGCCCGUCACACCAUGGGAGCGGGUUUUACCAGAAGUAGGUAGCCUAACCGCAAGGAGGGCGCUUACCACGGUAGGAUUCGUGACUGGGGUGAAGUCGUAACAAGGUAGGCGUAGUGCU
rnacentral:rRNA from 1 species